rnacentral:tRNA from 1 species
UAUAAAUUAGUGUAUAUUGCACAUAGAUUUUUGAAAUCUAUAGACGAACUAUUUCGAUUUAUAA